UACGGAGGGUGCAAGCGUUAUCCGGAUUCACUGGGUUUAAAGGGUGCGUAGGCGGACUUAUAAGUCAGUGGUGAAAGCCCGGGGCUCAACUCCGGAAUUGCCGUUGAUACUGUAAGUCUCGAGUACAGUUGAGGUGGGCGGAAUACAUCAUGUAGAGGUGAAAUUCUUAGAUAUGAUGUAGAACACCGAUUGCGAAGGCAGCUCACUAAAGUGUAACUGACGCUGAGGCACGAAAGCGUGGGUAUCAAACAGG
rnacentral:rRNA from 1 species